GUCCUUUUGAAUUUAAUUUAAGGUUUAACCUGCCCACUGAAAUAUUUGAAGGGCCGCAGUAAUUUGACUGUGCAAAGGUAGCAUAAUCAUUAGUUUUUUAAUUAAAAGCUUGUAUGAAGGGUUGGACGAGGUAAAUUCUGUCUCUAUUUAAUUUAUAGUAGAAUUUAAUUUUUAAGUUAAAAAGCUUAAAUUUAAUUAAAAGACGAGAAGACCCUAUAGAUCUUUAUAUUAUUUUUAUUAAUUUUAAUUAAGAUUAUUUAAUUUUUUAAUAAUUAUAGUAUUUUAUUGGGGUAAUAGAAAGAUUUAAUUAAUUCUUUUUUUAUUAUAACAUUAAUAAAUGAAUUUAUGAUCCAAUAUUAUUGAUUAUAAGAUUAAGUUACCUUAGGGAUAACAGCGUAAUAUUUUUAGAGAGUUCAUAUCGAUAAAAAAGUUUGCGACCUCGAUGUUGGAUUAAAAAUUAUUUUAGGUGUAGAAGCUUAAAAUUUUGGUCUGUUCGACCAUUAAAUUUUU
rnacentral:rRNA from 1 species